rnacentral:rRNA from 1 species
UACGAAGGGGGCUAGCGUUGCUCGGAAUCACUGGGCGUAAAGGGUGCGUAGGCGGGUUGGUAAGUCAGUGGUGAAAUCUUCAAGCUUAACUUGGAAACUGCCGUUGAUACUAUCAAUCUUGAAUAUUGUGGAGGUAAGCGGAAUAUGUCAUGUAGCGGUGAAAUGCUUAGAUAUGACAUAGAACACCGAUAGCGAAGGCAGCUUGCUACACAAAGAUUGACGCUGAGGCACGAAAGCGUGGGGAUCAAACAGG